GUUUCUGUAGUUGAAUUAACAACGGUGGCUUUUCAAAUCAUCGGUCUUGGUUAAACUCCAGGUAGAAACU
rnacentral:tRNA from 1 species